AUGGAUGCAGCUAGUUACUCUUAUAGUAAGAACGAACACCUAGCUGCAAUGAAUGAUUUGAAAAGAGAGUGUAAGGCAGCUUGGGCAUGGCUUAAUAAAGUACCAAUUUAUACAUGGGCUAGACAUGCAAUGGAUUUUACCUGCAAGACUAACCUAGUUGUGAACAACAUCAGUGAGGUGUUUAACAAAAUGAUCCUAGAUGUUAGAGGGAAGCCAAUAAAGACCAUGCUGGAAGGAAUUAGGACUAAAUUGAUGGUCAGAUUUAACACCAACAGAACUAAAACAGAGACAGCAAAUUGGGAGAUUUGCCCAACAUAUGCAGAGAUGUUAGAGGAGGCAAAGUACAACUCAAGGUGGUGCCAAUCUUUGAUGUCUGGUCCUAACAUUUACCAAGUUAGUAGUGGAGAUAACACAUACUCAGUGAACUUGCUGCACAGAACAUGUGGAUGUAGGAAGUGGGAUAUGACUGAUAUGCCUUGCAACCAUGCAGUCUCUGCAAUUGUGAAAGCUAAGUUGCAACCUGAAGACUUUGUUGAUGAUUUCUUCAAGAAGGAAAUGUAUCAAAAAGCAUAUGGCCAUAUCAUAUUUCCUGUCCCUGGUCCAAAUCUGUGGCCAAGGACAAGAACUCAGGACAUAGAGCCUUCAGUUUUCAGAGACAAAGUUGGGAAGCAACAAACAAAGAGGAGGAAAAACCAAUUUGAGAAGCCAGCACCAAAAGAUACAUCUAGGAUGGCAUCCAUUACUUGUAGCAACUGCAAACUUGUAGGGCACAGAUACACUGUGUGCUCCAAGCCCUUGAAACCAGCUCUUGCUAUGAGACAAAACCAGCAUCAGCCAAACAGGUCACAUGCUUCUGCUUCAUCUACAGCUGCUGCACCAACAAGGAAGAGGCCAUCUCCAUGUACAGCAGAUGUUGGGACUGCUCCUCCCAGGAAGAAAGUUGCACCUGCUGCAACUACACCUAGUGCUCCUCCCAGGAAGAAAGCUGCACCUGCUGCUAGUGCACCUACUGCUCCUCCCAGGAGGUCUCCCAGGAAGAAUGCUACCCCAGCACCUACUGCUCCUCCAAGGAGGUCUCCCAGGAAGAAAACUACCCCAGCUGGUGCAUCUUCUACAUCUGCCGCAGGCCAUAGGGGAACAUUUCAUUCUCCAAGACAGACUGGAAGGAAGAGGACAGUUUCCUACAAGAUGAAAGAGUACCUUUAUGCUUCUGGUAACUAG
rnacentral:rRNA from 1 species